CCCCCAUUUUCUCUUCUCUCCCUUUCCUUCCCUCUCUUCUUCUUCUUCCUUUCUCCGGUGACCGGCCGGCGACGUCCCAAGCAGCUCCCCACCGGCCGGCGACCCUCCGGCGACGUCCAGGACCACCAGAAACGGCGGCAAGAGAGGAAGAGGAGAGAGAAAACGCGCGCACAGUGGGCAGCGGCUUUCCGACGCGAUUCCGGCUUCGUCCGACGUCCGAUCGAGGCGAUUCCGGUGGCGUUGGAAAGCUUGUUUCGAGAGCUUUCUUUUGACACCACUUUUGAAGCAAAUGGAGGUCGGAUGAGUGAGAUAUGGAGGAGAGAAGUUUCGGGUUUUUCAAACUUUUUCGUCAGAUCUACGACGAUCCGACCGUUGGAUCGACGAUCCGAGACCACAUAUGGACUGAGGAAGAGGAGAUGAACAUGGUGGUAUGAUCAGAUCCGGCAAAUGUCGCCGGUGACCGGCGGCCGGCCACCGUGCGCGGUGGUGCCGGCGGUGGCCCGGUGAGCUAUGGAGAUGGUUCAACUUCCAGAGGCUUCCUCAUAAAUUUUUGGAAUUUUUGAGACACAGAUAAACUUCGGGUGAUCGAGAUCAACUAUUUUCCUGCAUCCAGCAGCCACAAUAGUCGACGGUGUACUGCCACAGGAGGAGUUAUUUUACAGAGCGACCUGUUUCCUUUCUCGCAGGUUUAACGUCGAUUAUUUAAUAUUAUUAUUAUUCUCUAAAUUUGUAAUUUAGGACUCCGCAUGUGCUAGUAGUAGCAUUAAGUCUGUCAGGGACUGUAUGAAUUCAAGUUUGCGUAUUAAUAAAUGAAAAGAAAAAAUUUUAUGAGUUUUAAA